CAAGAAGCCGAAAGGCUACUUAAAACCAUCGCGAACUUAUCCAAGUUGCUUCGGCGGCGCGGCUCCCCUCACGGGGGACCGCAGCCCCCGCCUCUCAGGAGGUAAGGGACAGCCGCCGGAGGUACGAAACUCUGUAUUAUAGUGGUAUCUCUGAGUAUAAAACAAAUAAGUUA
rnacentral:misc_RNA from 1 species